AAUGAGCUUUUCCAACCACGGUCAGGCAAGAUGAUGUCACACACGCCCCUUCUCUGGCUGCUGGUUCUCUGGAUUCAGGACUCCUCCGGGCAAAUUGUGAUGACUCAGUCCCCAGAAUCUCUGGCAGUGCCAGUGGGAGGGAGAGUCUCUAUCAACUGCAAAGCCAGUACAAGCAUCAGCAAUUACAUACACUGGUACCAACAGAAACCUGGACAAGCUCCCAAGCUUCUUAUCUACUAUGCCAGCAACCUCCAGUCUGGGGUUCCAGCCCGGUUCAGCGGCAGUGGGUCUGGCACUGAUUUCACAUUCACAAUCAGCAGCGUAGAAGCUGAAGAUGCUGGAGAUUAUUACUGCCAGCAGAGUUACAGCUACCCGUUCACUUUCGGGAAGGGGACCAAGGUGGAGAUAAAACGUAGAGAAAAUGCCAAGCCUUCGGUGUUCAUCUUUCCCCCAUCAGUUGACCAGCUGUCUCAAGCAACAGUCACCUUGGUGUGCCUGGUGAAUGGCUUCUACCCUAGUGCCUUGAAUGUGGUCUGGAAAACGGAUAAGGCCACCACCACAACUGGUGUCCUCACCAGCACGAAGCAGCAAGAUUCUUCUGACAGCACGUACAGCCUGAGCAGCACCCUGACGCUUUCGAAAGAUCAGUACAACUCGCACAACGACUAUAGCUGCGAGGUGACGCACGAAACCGUGACGGGCUCUCUUGUCAAGAGUUUCAAGAGAUCGGAUUGUACGCAGUAGGGGGAUCCCAGGGAAAGAUCCCUGCCUCCUCUUUGCAGCCUUUCUUAUGCUUUGUUUAUGUAACUAUCAGUCUGAUUCUUUUUUUUUUCCUCCCAAAAUAUGAUGACCGAGAUCUUCCAGGUCUCACCUCCUGCCUUACCACUUGCUAACGGUACUGGAUAACCAGGCCCUGCCUGAUUUUACCCUGCUGCCUUAUGAGGUUUCCUGCUUUUAUCAUGUUUCAACUUCAAAAAUGAAUAAAUAAAUGAAAUCAAUGAAACAGCA